UACGUAUGGAGCGAGCGUUAUCCGGAUUCAUUGGGCGUAAAGCGCGCGCAGGCGGCUCGUUAAGUCGGGUGUCAAAGCCCGGGGCUCAACCCCGGCCCGCACCCGAUACUGGCGGGCUCGAGUUCGGUAGAGGAGGGUGGAAUUCCCAGUGUAGCGGUGAAAUGCGCAGAUAUUGGGAGGAACACCGAUGGCGAAGGCAGCCCUCUGGGCCGCAACUGACGCUGAGGCGCGAAAGCUGGGGGAGC
rnacentral:rRNA from 1 species